UACGAAGGGUGCAAGCGUUAAUCGGAAUUACUGGGCGUAAAGCGCGCGUAGGUGGUUCGUUAAGUUGGAUGUGAAAGCCCCGGGCUCAACCUGGGAACUGCAUCCAAAACUGGCGAGCUAGAGUACGGUAGAGGGUGGUGGAAUUUCCUGUGUAGCGGUGAAAUGCGUAGAUAUAGGAAGGAACACCAGUGGCGAAGGCGACCACCUGGACUGAUACUGACACUGAGGUGCGAAAGCGUGGGGAGCAAACAGGA
rnacentral:rRNA from 1 species